rnacentral:rRNA from 1 species
CCUACGGGGGGCUGCAGUGGGGAAUAUUGGACAAUGGGGGCAACCCUGAUCCAGCCAUGCCGCGUGUGUGAAGAAGGCCCUCGGGUUGUAAAGCACUUUCAGUGAGGAAGAACGCCUGGUGGUUAAUACCCAUCAGGAAAGACAUCACUCACAGAAGAAGCACCGGCUAACUCCGUGCCAGCAGCCGCGGUAAUACGGAGGGUGCGAGCGUUAAUCGGAAUUACUGGGCGUAAAGCGCGCGUAGGUGGCUUGAUAAGCCGGUUGUGAAAGCCCCGGGCUCAACCUGGGAACGGCAUCCGGAACUGUCAAGCUAGAGUGCAGGAGAGGAAGGUAGAAUUCCCGGUGUAGCGGUGAAAUGCGUAGAGAUCAGGAGGAAUACCAGUGGCGAAGGCGGCCUUCUGGACUGACACUGACACUGAGGUGCGAAAGCGUGGGUAGCAAACAGGAUUAGAUACCUCAGUAGUC